rnacentral:lncRNA from 1 species
UUGUCGCCCUCACCCAGCUGCUGUGGCGGAGAAACGGAGGCCAGCGCGGGGAGCGGAAGCCGGAGCCUGUCGGGAGCGACCCCGGGAAGGCCAGUCCCUCCUGCCGGAGGGAGGCGUGUUGGCGUGCGGCCGGUGGCGGGAUCGAUGGCCACCUGGUAGGCGAUGCUGCUGUGGCGGAGAAACGGAGGCCAGCGCGGGGAGCGGAAGCCGGAGCCUGUCGGGAGCGACCCCGGGAAGGCCAGUCCCUCCUGCCGGAGGGAGGCGUGUUGGCGUGCGGCCGGUGGCGGGAUCGAUGGCCACCUGGUAGGCGAUGCUGCUGUGGCGGAGAAACGGAGGCCAGCGCGGGGAGCGGAAGCCGGAGCCUGUCGGGAGCGACCCCGGGAAGGCCAGUCCCUCCUGCCGGAGGGAGGCGUGUUGGCGUGCGGCCGGUGGCGGGAUCGAUGGCCACCUGGUAGGCGAUGGUAAGCGGCAGUGGCCUGCGCCAACGUAGCCCCGGGGGCGCCGUGUGUGGCGCCCGGACCCGCACCCUCUGCUCCCGGGGGUGGAGCUGACCUGCUUGCCCGCGGUUGGGCUCGGGAGCCUGCGGGCCGCGGCCAGGAGGGAGCUGGCUGGCCGUCCCGGCGGUGGGGGCUGUGGCGGUGGCCGUCCCGCGGGUGUGCCCGUGCUCGGAUCGAUGAUGACACCCACAAACGCAUUCCUUGGAAAAUCUGAACAAAAUGAGUGAGAACUCACUACCGUCUCCUCAUCGCAAACUGAGGUCCGGCACGUGGCUCCCACAGGGGACGUCGGGGAGGGUCCCGUUGCCUUGGCUCCCUUGGGUGCGUGCAGCCCUGGGGCGCAGGUGGGGCAGGCAGGCCUCCGGUGGCCGCGGAGGGCCAUGGGGAGAGGAGCCUUGGGCUGGCCUCCUCGAGGGCAGCCCCGGGGCCCCGGGCCCCGGUGCCGGCGGAAAGCCUUGGGAGUGGCAGGCCCAGUGUGGGGUGGGCUGCCUGCGGUGUGUGUGAGCGCCGCUGGGCUCUCAG